rnacentral:rRNA from 1 species
UACGAAGGUUGCAAGCGUUACUCGGAAUUACUAGGCGUAAAGGGCAGGUAGGUGGUUUGGUUAGUCUAUUGUGAAAGCUCCCGGCUUAACUGGGAGAGGCCAAUGGAUACUGCCAAGCUUGAGUAUAGGAGAGGUUACUGGAAUUCCCGGUGUAGCGGUGAAAUGCGCAGAUAUCGGGAGGAACACCAAUGGCGAAAGCAGGUAACUGGACUAUUACUGACACUCUACUGCGAAAGCUAGGGGAGCAAACAGG